rnacentral:rRNA from 1 species
GUAGUUCGACUCCGUGCUACGAGACGACGCUGGCGGCGUGCCUAAUGCAUGCAAGUCGCACGGAGUGUCUUCGGACACUGAGUGGCGCACGGCUGAGGAACACGUGGAUACCUGCCCCGCAGUGGGGGAUAACAGGGCGAAAGCUCUGCUAAUCCCGCAUACGGUCGCCGUAAGGUGAAGAAAGCCGCAAGGCGCUGUGGGAGGGGUCUGCGGCCCAUCAGGUAGUCGGUGGGGUAACGGCCUACCGAGCCAAUGACGGGUAGCUGGUCUGUGAGGACAACCAGCCAGACUGGGACUGAGACACGGCCCAGACUCCUACGGGAGGCAGCAGCAAGGAAUUUUCCCCAAUGGGCGCAAGCCUGAGGGAGCAACGCCGCGUGCAGGAAGACGGCCUUCGGGUUGUAAACUGCUUUUGAGGGAGAAGAGAUGGACGGUAUCCCUCGAAUAAGCCCCGGCUAACUCUGUG